GAAGGUACAAUUUGAAGGCUCUAUGAGCAUUACUCCUGAGUUGAAGAGGGUGCCAUUGUUUCCUGUUGCUGAGAUCUCUGGCAUUCCGAAUAAGAAGUCGAUGUUUCGGAAGAUUAGAAGGUCGGCGUCGAUGAAGAUGAUCUUGUCAUAGUCUGUUAGUUGCCAUAGCCUGAACUUGCUGUAGUUCCACUCGUUGUAUGCAUCUUUUUCUGCUUUUGGGUUCCUGAUCCUUUGGAUUAUUCUUAUUUUCCAUCCUGCUGCUUCUAGGCCACUCUUGUGAUAGGAACUGAUUGUCUCGUCGACGAGUAUCACGAGGUCCCUAGUCGACCCUGACAUCCGAAUGCUUUGCGCUGCUGCAAUCGCGCCACAGACAUAAACGUGAGCUGAAUGGAGAAUUGUUGCAUAGGCUUCUCGGAGCAUGUUUCCUGAGUAAGGAACCUCUGUUUUGAAAGAUAACUUAUUAGAGAAGAAAAAGGAUCGUUUUUUAUAAGUAUUAUACUCAGUUUAGCUCAAGUUUCGCUCAAUUCCAUUUGGGGUGAAUGAUUUCUUUACUUCUCAUAAACAAAACUGCAUUUCAUCAUGGGAAAAAUCUUCACAUUAAUUUUUUUGUAAAAGGAUGUGUUUGUAGUGCCAUUGUUAUCUAUCAUAGGACUGACCUUUGCCUUUUAGGGGCAGUGCAAGUUCACAAGAACCAACUGGGAGCUGUAUCUUUUCUCUGAUCACAUUCAAGUUUGGUCGGUACAGCCACACAUUUCCUCGCCGUGCAACAAGAUCCUUGCAUGUAAACAAGUUCGGUAUUGGGAAGCAGUU
rnacentral:lncRNA from 1 species